AUUGAACGCUGGCGGCAUGCUUUACACAUGCAAGUCGAACGGCAGCGCGGGCUUCGGCCUGGUGGCGAGUGGCGAACGGGUGAGUAAUAUAUCGGAACGUACCCAGGAGUGGGGGAUAACGUAGUGAAAGUUACGCUAAUACCGCAUACGUCCUAAGGGAGAAAGUGGGGGAUCGCAAGACCUCAUGCUCAUGGAGCGGCCGAUAUCUGAUUAGCUAGUUGGUGGGGUAAAGGCUCACCAAGGCAACGAUCAGUAGCUGGUCUGAGAGGACGACCAGCCACACUGGAACUGAGACACGGUCCAGACUCCUACGGGAGGCAGCAGUGGGGAAUUUUGGACAAUGGGGCAAUCCUGAUCCAGCAAUGCCGCGUGAGUGAAGAAGGCCUUCGGGUUGUAAAGCUCUUUUGUCAGGGAAGAAACGACUCCUUCUAAUACAGGGGGUUAAUGACGGUACCUGAAGAAUAAGCACCGGCUAACUACGUGCCAGCCGCCGCGGUAA
rnacentral:rRNA from 1 species